AGCGAACGCUGGCGGCAGGCCUAACACAUGCAAGUCGAACGAACUCUUCGGAGUUAGUGGCGGACGGGUGAGCAACACGUGGGAACGUGCCUUUAGGUUCGGAAUAACUCAGGGAAACUUGUGCUAAUACCGAAUGUGCCCUUCGGGGGAAAGAUUUAUCGCCUUUAGAGCGCCCCGCGCCUGUUUAGCAGGUUGGUGAGGUAACGCCUCACCAAGGCGACGAUCAGUAGCUGGUCUGAGAGGAUGGCCAGCCACACUGGGACUGAGACACGGCCCAGACUCCUACGGGAGGCAGCAGUGGGGAAUCUUGCGCAAUGGGCGAAAGCCUGACGCAGCCAUGCCGCGUGAAUGAUGAAGGUCUUAGGAUUGUAAAAUUCUUUCACCGGGGACGAUAAUGACGGUACCCGGAGAAGAAGCCCCGGCUAACUUCGUGCCAGCCGCCGCGGUAA
rnacentral:rRNA from 1 species